GACGAACGCUGGCGGCGUGCUUAACACAUGCAAGUCGAACGUGAUUUUUGUGGAAAUUCUUUCGGGAAUGGAAAUGAAAUGAAAGUGGCGAACGGGUGAGUAACACGUGAGCAACCUACCUUACACAGCGGGAUAGCCUCGAGAAAUCGGGAGUAAAACCGCAUAACACAGCAGAAUCGCAUGACUUUGCUGUCAAAACUCCGGUGCCGAUAGAUGGGCCCGCGUCUGAUUAGCUAGUUGGUAAGGUAAGGGCUUACCAAGGCAACGAUCAGUAGCCGGUCUGAGAGGGCGAACGGCCACACUGGAACUGAGACACGGUCCAGACUCCUACGGGAGGCAGCAGUGGGGAAUAUUGCGCAAUGGGGGCAACCCUGACGCAGCAAUACCGCGUGAGUGAAGAAGGUUUUCGGAUCGUAAAGCUCUGUUAUUGGGGAAGAAACAGUGACGGUACCCAAUGAGGAAGUCCCGGCUAACUACGUGCCAGCAGCCGCGGUAAUACGUAGGGGACGAGCGUUGUCCGGAAUCACUGGGCGUAAAGGGCGCGUAGGCGGUUUUAUAAGUCAGAUGUGAAAGGUACCGGCUCAACCGGUGACGUGCAUUUGAAACUGUAAGACUUGAGUACUGAAGAGGCAAGCGGAAUUCCUAGUGUAGCGGUGAAAUGCGUAGAUAUUAGGAAGAACACCGGUGGCGAAGGCGGCUUGCUGGGCAGAUACUGACGCUGAGGUGCGAAAGCGUGGGGAGCGAACAGG
rnacentral:rRNA from 1 species